AUGGCAUAUGGUUUGGAUUGGUCUGGGUGGAAAACGCAUGUAGUUUGGUUUGGUUUGGAUGCUAGCUUAAUUAUUUUGGUUUGGUUUGGUUUGGUUGUUGGAGGUAUAGUCAUAUGGUUUGGGCUGGGUUUAGUUUGGAUGUCAAACUAUUCCCAGGUUUACUUGCUGGACCCUAAUUCCUUUCUUUUAUUAUUAGGCACAUCCAUUCGUGAAGUUGUCAGAAGUAUGGCCAGUCUCCGAAUACCACUUUGGACAAGGUUAAAUUUAUGCUUCCUCGUGUUUGAUAGAAAAGGUGAUAGCAAGAGAUAUAUACAGUCAACUUAUUAA
rnacentral:rRNA from 1 species